AAACCCUCGCCCUUGUGAUGUCAAAGUCGCACGUGGUGGAUUUGGACUGUGCCGUAAUUGGCUCGUCCUGAAAUAUAUUAGCUGGCGCUGGUUAGAGUGCUCGGCACGGUGUGAUAAUUAUCUGCGCCGUCGCCUUAGGCCUCUUCUGUGUGUGCCGCUUCCAAUCGUCCCUUGUGGACACUACAAUUUUAAG
rnacentral:misc_RNA from 1 species